GCGUGGCAAUGAUAAAUAUUGAAAUGAUAACUUAGUAAAACAACUUUAGGCUAAGAAUAAAAUAAAAUAAAAUAAAAAGAACUUUUGCAACGUGAGACGUAAAGAAAUGAACCAACACUUUCUUUCUUCAAUCAAGGAUAAGAAAUGAACUUCUUUUCUAAUUAAAAAUUAAAUCACCGCAUUUUGUUUGCUGGACAUCAUCGUUCGUCUCUUGCCUCCAAUAAUCCAAAUGACCUGCUUUCUCCAAAUAUAAUAUUUCAAUGAAAACAUGCU
rnacentral:lncRNA from 1 species